rnacentral:rRNA from 1 species
GGUGAGUAACACGUGGGCAAUCUGCCCUGCACUCUGGGACAAGCCCUGGAAACGGGGUCUAAUACCGGAUAUGACUGUCCAUCGCAUGGUGGAUGGUGUAAAGCUCCGGCGGUGCAGGAUGAGCCCGCGGCCUAUCAGCUUGUUGGUGAGGUAGUGGCUCACCAAGGCGACGACGGGUAGCCGGCCUGAGAGGGCGACCGGCCACACUGGGACUGAGACACGGCCCAGACUCCUACGGGAGGCAGCAGUGGGGAAUAUUGCACAAUGGGCGAAAGCCUGAUGCAGCGACGCCGCGUGAGGGAUGACGGCCUUCGGGUUGUAAACCUCUUUCAGCAGGGAAGAAGCGAAAGUGACGGUACCUGCAGAAGAAGCGCCGGCUAACUACGUGCCAGCAGCCGCGGUAAUACGUAGGGCGCAAGCGUUGUCCGGAAUUAUUGGGCGUAAAGAGCUCGUAGGCGGCUUGUCACGUCGGUUGUGAAAGCCCGGGGCUUAACCCCGGGUCUGCAGUCGAUACGGGCAGGCUAGAGUUCGGUAGGGGAGAUCGGAAUUCCUGGUGUAGCGGUGAAAUGCGCAGAUAUCA